rnacentral:pre_miRNA from 1 species
AUUAUACUCCUUUUGUCUUAAAAUAAGUGGCGUGCUUUUAGUUCAAAUUUGAAUUAAAACCACGUCACUUAUUUUGGUUUUAGUUUAAAUUUGAAUUAAAACCACGUCACUUAUUUUGAGACAGAGGGAGUAUUUG